rnacentral:rRNA from 1 species
UGGGGAAUUUUGGACAAUGGGCGAAAGCCUGAUCCAGCAAUGCCGCGUGUGUGAAGAAGGCCUUCGGGUUGUAAAGCACUUUUGUCCGGAAAGAAAUGGCUCUGGUUAAUACCUGGGGUCGAUGACGGUACCGGAAGAAUAAGGACCGGCUAACUACGUGCCAGCAGCCGCGGUAAUACGUAGGGUCCAAGCGUUAAUCGGAAUUACUGGGCGUAAAGCGUGCGCAGGCGGUUGUGCAAGACCGAUGUGAAAUCCCCGAGCUUAACUUGGGAAUUGCAUUGGUGACUGCACGGCUAGAGUGUGUCAGAGGGGGGUAGAAUUCCACGUGUAGCAGUGAAAUGCGUAGAGAUGUGGAGGAAUACCGAUGGCGAAGGCAGCCCCCUGGGAUAACACUGACGCUCAUGCACGAAAGCGUGGGGAGCAAACAGGAUUAGAUACCCCUGGUAGUCCACGCCCUAAACGAUGUCAACUAGUUGUUGGGGGAUUCAUUUUCCUUAGUAACGUAGCUAACGCGUGAAGUUGACCGCCUGGGGAGUACGGUCGCAAGAUU